CACAUGCAAGUGGUGCGACGAACCAGAGCUUGCUCUGGGGCAAAGCCGCGAACGGGUGAGUAACACGUGGGUAAUCUACCCCGAUGACCGGGACAACCCGAGGAAACUCGGGCUAAUACCGGAUGUGGUACGGAGACAUAAGUCUCUUUACUAAAGGUAGCUUCGGCUUCCGCAUUGGGAGGGGCCCGCGGCCCAUUAGCUAGUUGGUGGGGUCAAGGCCUACCAAGGCAACGAUGGGUAGCUGGUCUGAGAGGACGAUCAGCCACACUGGGACUGAGACACGGCCCAGACUCCUACGGGAGGCAGCAGUGGGGAAUCUUGCGCAAUGCGCGAAAGCGUGACGCAGCAACACCGCGUGAGGGAAGACGGCCUUAGGGUUGUAAACCUCUUUCAGAUGGGACGAAGGUGAUGCGGUGAAUAGCCGAUGUCAUUGACGGUACCGUCAGAAGAAGCUCCGGCUAACUACGUG
rnacentral:rRNA from 1 species